UACAGAGGGGGCAAGCGUUGUCCGGAUUUACUGGGCGUAAAGAGCGCGCAGGCGGUCGUUCAAGUCGCGUGUGAAAGCCCCCGGCUCAACUGGGGAGGGUCACGCGAUACUGAUCGACUCGAAGGCAGGAGAGGGUAGUGGAAUUCCCGGUGUAGUGGUGAAAUGCGUAGAGAUCCGGAGGAACACCAGCGGCGAAGGCGGCAUCCUGGACUGGUCCUGACACUCAGGAGCGAAAGCGUGGGGAGCGAUCCGG
rnacentral:rRNA from 1 species